AAGACUCCAUUGUAAAUAGUGAUUAAUGUUUUUAAUUCUCUACACAGAAUGGAUGUGAUACUUCCUAAAUCCACGUGAGAGAAACACCUAUUUCUAGGAUUUAUGCACACAUACUACCUGCGUGGGUUUAGUGUUAAUGCACUUAUCAUUUCCCAGAAUGAUGGCGCUUUUUGAAAUCCUACAGGAAAGAUUUGUGCAAGCACAGAUGGGCAAAAAGGAAGACAAUAUGAAGUACAUAACAGAACAAGCAUUCUGUUUUUCCCCCGGGUCUAAACUAGAACAUUUGAAGUGUCUGAUUUUACCCUUCAACCAAAAAGAGGAGGAGAGAUCAAAGAACUCAGUCCAUCACCUUCAGGUGCUGCCAGGACAUCAGGUCAAGUCAGAGAUGAGAAACAGGAUUUUAUCCAGGUGGCCUUCUUUAAUGCUGCUGAGUCUACAUUCAGUGUUGCCUGGGUAUCUGUCCACACAGGCAAGAAGUGGCCUAAAUUGUGAUUGCAAAGAGGAAAGACUGUAUGAGUGUGCUAUCCACUGUGGUCAGAAAGAUACUGGAGAAGGUCUGCAGGAGAGGAGGGAGCUCUGCUUUUGGCAGCCUGAUAUUGAAGGGAUGCUCUCCUAGUCAGAGCAACAACAUGAAGCACUGAUAUUGUCCAAAACUGAUGUUUCAGCACACCUAUACUGAUGAUCUGUUACCAUCAAAGAUGUGGUGAGGCAACUUUCUCUGAAUGGGGAGCAUCAGGAAAGCAUCCUCUAAGGAUCCAAAUUGUAUCAAUGGGGAGCCGAGUUCAAGAAAUUCACUGAAGCAUCCCAGAUGUGCAAGAGGACAUCAAAUCUGUGGUUGAAGAACAGGCAAGAUGAUAUCUAUCAUUGCUUAAGCCUACCACUUUUUGUCUAGUCAUGAUUUUUUGAUUCCUGACAGAAGAAAAACUUGAUUAGUGAGUGGUAAAAUUCUUAGUAUAGAAUCUUGUGAAUAUUUUGUGAAUAUUUCUGGUUUUCCAGAACAAAUUGAUUCAGUAUUUUAAACAUUAUUUCUAUCUUUGUUCCGCUGCUUCGUUCUUCACAGUUGGUAAUGUGAAAAGUUAAACUCAGAAUAAAGGCAGUGACUUACUCAAAGCUGAGGUUCUUAUGUAGCUCACCAAAUUAUGGGUAAAUUAAUACUUAUCAAAUGCCAGUUGCUUAUUCAGUUAACUUCUGAACAUAAACCUUGCAUCAAUGCAUCCAUUACCUCCACAUUCUAAAUGAAUUGGCUGUUUUUAAAUCAAUCAGCCUUGUUCACUGGCUCAACAGUUCACAAGGUUAAUGUAUUAAUGUUUUUAUGGAAAGAAGCCAAUCGUUCAUUCCUAACGUUCCCUGAGGAACCACUUGAAGUGAAACCAUGCUUGAGAAAUUUGAAUGUUGGAAGUAUAUUUUAAUGGAUGUAGAUCCAUGCAUUUUUUUCUAUGCUGCUGGUCCUACCUACAUGAGCAAUCAUCUGGUUUACUAAUGUGUACUACAGGGAAUUAAAUGUCUCCAUAGUGUAACAGUUCUAUCUCUUGGAUCAUUUUCCCAUGUAAUUCUUAUCUCUAUGUCAGUAAUUGCAAAGUCUGAGACAAUUCCAAUUUCUUUUCACUGUCAGAUGCUGAACAUUUUCUGCAUUACCACUUGUGGGCUUAACACUGGCUUUAAGCAUUUGGUACAGACAAGAGUGACUGUCCUGUUUGUUCUUUACAGAAGAGAGCUUUACUAUGAGUUUGAGGAAAAAGGAAUAAAGAAGCAACAGAAAUGUUAUUAUUUUUUUCUUUUUGCUUUUCAUGUGUCCCAGUCAAGGUCUCCAACAUUCUGCAAGUCUAACUCAUUAAUGGAUGUGUCACUCAAAUGUCUUUUGGCAAGUAGCAAGAAUGCUCUCCAGCACAGAUAUAUAACCCUUGCAGCUGUGUAUGUCCUCUCCAUGGCUAUCCUCUGUGAUACAUUCACUGCUGCUGGUACUGCAGAGGCCAGGUUGAGCGGGUGCCAGAAUAUCCUACACCUUUUGUUUUAGGACUUUAUCCCAGAAGCAAUCUCUUCUGAUGAUGUAAAUGUAUCAUGCAAGUGACCAAGAACACACUGGACAGCAAGAAUUGUGCCUGAUCUGCUGUUACACAUGACAUCAGUUCUAUGAAGACCUGUGACCUUGAAAUGAAAAAAUGAGACUGUGUGAAGGUCUUUUACUAGGUUCUGGAGGCAAAGAUAUGGCCCACCACUGUCCAAGCAUUAUUUUUCAUCACCAGCUCUCUCAUCACCCCUGUGGUAUUAUAGUUCUCAAGAUUGACUGCAACUUUCCCGUGAUGAUUUGUUAAGAAGAGAAACACAUUAGAAGCAGAGUGAGAGACGCAGGCUCAAGCUGUUAUAAAUUUGGAGUCCUUACACAACAUGGAGCCUUAAGAAAGUGGUAUCCUGGAUUAUAUUUCACAGUCCUUUCAAGUAUUUCAGGUUGUAUUUGCACAGUGCUAGAAAUAUAUUUAUAUGUGAACUGAGGAAGUUCAGUGGGUGUCAGACUGGCAACAGGUAAAUUUUAGAGAUGAAAAGGGGAGAAAAAAGGAUUGCGCACCUCUAUUAUCAAGGAUUACAGCUCAAGAAAAAGAGAAGUAGGAGGGGGGAGAAAGAGAAAGGAUUUAUGUCUGAAACAAACAAUAAAUAACUAACCUAAACUUUAGGUCAUAAUCAUUCUUGGAUCCCCUCCAGAUGUUUUGAGAAGAUUCAGGUUUUCCUUUUCCUGAAGGUUUUGUAGGCUAGAAAGGUUUGAGUCUUAGAUAAGUAUUUCUGACAGGAAUACAUUUUGUGUUUGACAUCCAGAUAGCUUUAUUGACAGCUGAAGAUUCUGAAUUUAAAUUUUCACUUUCAGUGUUAUGUAUGUUGUUUAGCUAGAGAAUGAAAAAGUAUGAUUUCAUAUUAUGUAUAUGUGGAUUAUUAUCUACAUAUGGAUGUAUUGGUUAUACAGUGAAAAUGAUAAAACUGACUGUAAUUCUGAAAAAUAAGUGCUCUGAAAUGUCAUGCUGAUAGAUAAGGUUAAAGUCUGCUCUCCUAAAAUCCAUGGCUGCUGUCCUUCAUUUUGCCUUGGUCCCUCCUCUUAGGAUCUUGAAAUCUACCACUGCACUGAUCAUUGAACCAAAGUUGGCCUAGACUUUCGCACUCGCAAACAGCCAUUCCUUUUUCCUGACUAGCAGAGCACCCUCUCUCCUCCAUCACCUGUGUUGACUCCUGUCAUCUAUACCACAAAGACGAUCUCUGACUCCUGUAUCACAAAGCUGCUUUGAGUGGUCUCUAUAAAUCUCCUAGGUUUUUGUGUCCCAUAUUUUUUGUGCUUCCAGCAGAUAUAGCAGAUAUCAGGUGGUUAAAUAUCACUGGGUAUUUACAGAGCAGUGCAUGAAAAAUGAUACUAGAUACAAGUGAAUAUAAUGACCAUGAUGAUUGCCAUUAUUUUCAUACAAAGUAAAGAGCGCACACAAAUAAUAAUUAUACUAGAUUCGGUAUGAGUUUAUGGAAAAUUGAUUUUACUAAACUAGCUGUAUGUAAUUUUAUAAAAUGCUAACUAUUAUAAAUGCUAAGUAUUAAAUUAGUUUAUAUUUUAUUAAAUUAUGGUAAUUAAAUAUAUCUAAUGAAUUUUGCUUACUGCACAAUGUUUCUAUUAAGAAUCUGAAUUGGCAUGAAAGAAAAAUAGCAUAUAUUAAAUGGACUGAAUGUGGAUUAGAUAAUAUAUCCCAAAACAGAAUGAGCAAAGAGCCGUCAACUAUUGAUGUAAAUGGGAAUGCUGUGGUCUUAUGUUCUUUUUCUCCAAAAUCACUGACAUCAAACCUUCACUGAUAAAUGUGAAUGUGUUACAAAAUAGAAAUUUUUAUUACUUAAGAGGACACAGUACUUGUGCAAUGGUUUUUUUUUUUUUUGUUCAACUACAAGUAUCUUACUUUUUACCAUUACGGGUUGUAUGGUCAUACACCAUUAAUCAAGUUGCUACUUAUUCUGCAGCUCCUGCUUACUGGAUUAAUUAUUGAAAAGUGUUUGUGGAAAGCUGUAAGAAUAAAUAUAUUCUAAAAAGCUUAGUAUUAUUAUGUAAGUUUCAAAAGUGAUAUACCACACAAAUUAACCUGAAACAUAAUAGAGUGAUGAGCACUUGGAAAUGCAAAGAAAGUAAGCCCUGGUGAAGAACCUGUGGAAGAGUAAUGCCCAGAAAUGGACUGCAAUAAAAAACUAUCCACUAUUAUUACAAAGAGUAAACUAGCAUAAAAAAGCAAUGAGGAAAUAUUGGUUAUGUCUAUAUUAAGAAGAGUUUUGGGUUCAGAUGGAACUGAAAAAAUUGUGGGCAUCAUGAUCAAACUAUUUCUUGAAUAUCUGUACUUAAUAUACUUUAUGUGGAAAAAUAUUCAUUUUGGGAUUCUGGUUGUAAUCUCCAUUUUUUUCACUCUUGCUUCCCUAUGGUACCAACCAAAGUAGUUUCAUUUUAACGGCACUAACGUUUUAAUCUGCCUUCACCUCCCAUUGGAAAAUUUAAAUUAAAUAAAUCAUUUAAACAUUUUAGUAGUUGUUAUUGCACUAUCAUAUUCUACUUAUGCAUUUCAGCUUGUCAAAGAAUGACGGGAUGUUAUGGGUGUUUUAAUGAAAGACUAUAUUAAAAAUUCCAGAGUAAUGUAAAACAUAUUGCAAAUGAGUUAAAAAUUAAAGGCACUUCAUAUCCUUUAUUGCAUUCCUACAGUUUAGCUUGUUUUCAAACUAACAGCUGAUAGUAUGUGAUGGGAAUACAGAAAUCAAGCUGAUUUAUCAAAUAUGCUCAGACACCAGAGAUUUACUGUUUCCU